AUACGUAGGGAGCGAGCGUUGUCCGGAAUUACUGGGCGUAAAGGGCGCGUAGGCUGCGCUUCAAGUCGUCUGUCAAACAAUAAGGCUCAACCUUAUUUUGCAGACGAAACUGUGGCGCUAGAGAAGCAGAGAGGCAAACAGAAUUCCUGGUGUAGCGGUGAAAUGCGUAGAUAUCAGGAGGAACACAUGUGGCGAAGGCGGCUUCCUGGAUCGCAACUGACGCUGAGGCGCGAAAGCUAGGGGAGCAAACAGGAUUAGAUACCCUGGUAGUCCUAGCCCUAAACGAUGAGCACUUGGUGUAGCCCUUCACCGGGCUGUGCCGGAGCUAACGCGUUAAGUGCUCCGCCUGGGGAGUACGGUCGCAAGGCUGAAACUCAAAUGAAUUGACGG
rnacentral:rRNA from 1 species